GAUUUUCUUGUUGUUGCUGUUGUUGUUGUUGUUAUUGCUGUAGCUGUUGUUGUCGUUCGGUGCCUAAGUGUGGGCACAUAAAACCGGAGAGCCAUGACACAGCUACAGCCGCGGCGUACGAAUUGCCACCAUCGAGCAUGCGUGCCACACUCACCGUCAUAAAGAGGAAAGCCCAACGGAGCAACAACACACGAAAAUACCCCACGCAUCACUCACUCACACACACAUACAUAGCGCUCACUGAGCAGCUGAUGGUGUUGUUGUGAUUGUGAUUUCGUGGUGUCUUUCUUUUUAGCUGAGGUCAAUAUCGUCAGUGGCAACGGAGCAAAUAGAAAUAUGAAUAACUGUUUAUGAUGAGUAUACGAAAA